rnacentral:lncRNA from 1 species
CUGAUCCCUCCCUACUUCCUGAUCUCCAUCAAAGAAUAUUGAUACAAGCCUUGAAACCAACCCCUCUCUCCUGAACUGACAUGCUAGUGGCCAAGCUGACGGUCAUCAUAGGUGCUGUAUCUCUUCACAUGGAUUCGGCGUACUCGGUCACGAAGUUCAAAACCAUCAUCAUCCUCACUAUGAGAGGCCUGGCUUCGGCUCCUGCUGGUUGCUUCCAGCAGAGAGUUAUCAGGAACUCGUGGUGUUUCAUACAGUAAGACGUUUAGAGUUUCCUCAUAAAUACGUGCCUCAGGGAAUUCAACCUUGGUUUGCUUCUUCUCUGUGGCAUACACUAUAGAGGUACAACAGACUUCAGCAA